GGGUGCAAUCAUACCAGCACUAAUGCACCGGAUCCCAUCAGAACUCCAAAGUUAAACAUGCUUGGGCGAGAGUAGUACUAAGAUGGGUGACCUCUGG
rnacentral:rRNA from 1 species